UUUGUGUGGACUAGACCUGUGGAAACCCCUUUAAAACCUUAAACCGUAGGCCAUUUUUUUCUCACCAACUCAACAUUACAUACUUGCUCUAUCUAGGUGUUUUGUUUGACAAAGAAAAAUGUCUACCCGAAAGCUUGCUUGCACUUACGCUCCUAGUGGUGGUGGCGGUGGCGGCGGUGGCGGCGGUGGCGGCGGCGGCGGUGGGGGUGGGGGCGGCGGCUGCGGAGGCGGUGGAGGCGGCGGCGGCGGAUGCUGAAAUUUGAUGUGCAUGCUACCUUUUAAAUUUGUGUUGUUUAGACUUUAUGUGUUGAAGAUUGUGUGUUGUGUUUUAUCGUUUUCUGCUGAACCUUGAGAAAUAAUGGGUGUUUGUUUUAUAUGUGAUUGUGAUUGUGUGUUUAGUGCACUAUAAGCUAUAACAUUGUUGUGGUUGUCUUUGUUGGUUGAAAUUUGAUGCUAAGCCUUGAGAAAUUGUUGUGGUUGUCUUUGUUGGUUGAAAUAAUGGGUGUUUGUUUUUUAUGUGAUUGUGGUUGUGUGUUUAGUGCAAUAUAA
rnacentral:lncRNA from 1 species